UGACCAAGGGGCCGGGCUGUUUUGACCUAUCGUGUCGAAGCGGCCUAGGGGUACAGGGAGUACCUCCUUUCAGGGGGCCGGGUCAGGCGAAGC
rfam:Pseudomonas monteilii strain TSDA-ARS-TSMARC-56711, complete genome.